rnacentral:lncRNA from 1 species
AGGGCAUCACCAAGCCGGCGAUCCGGCGGCUGGCGCGGCGGGGCGGCGUGAAGCGCAUCUCGGGGCUCAUCUACGAGGAGACCCGCGGCGUGCUCAAGAUCUUCCUGGAGAACGUCAUCCGCGACGCCGUCACCUACACGGAGCACGCCCGCCGCAAGACCGUCACCGCCAUGGACGUCGUCUACGCCCUCAAGCGCCAGGGACGCACUCUCUACGGGUUCGGCGGCUAGGCCGCGCGAAUCGAUCCCCCCACCACCAGAUUUGUGCGCGGCUGUGUAGUGUUCAUGGGCUUCGGUGUAAUGGCCGCAUCUCGCUGCUGUAUGUCUUGGCCUUGACUGUUGUUUGGAUGUAGUUCUGAGAUGGAAUUGAAAUUGAAGCAGCUUACCCUUGAAUUCUUCUCCAAUCUCUCACUCUGUUGAUGCUGAUUUGUGUGAGCAGUUAGAAAUUACUAAUUUCCCACUCUGUAAUUUACCCCUGAAUUACUAGUUUACCCUUGAAUUCUUCUGCAAUCUCUCACUCUGUUGAUGUUGAUUUGUGUCUCUCGCUCUGUAAUUUGCUGCCUCCCAAAAUCAACCGUGUGGGCUUCAGUGUACGGUUGAUUCAAACCGUCGCUGCAUUUUUGUAGCUUGCGUUUUCUCCGAUUCCACGGCUUGUCCUGAACAUUUUCUGUACCCCGUCAGUUGAACCAAGUUUCAGAUAAGACAUGUGCUGCCCAUUUCGGAUCUGGUGAGCAAUUUGUACUGUCAUGGGAAGCAGCUGCCCUUUUUGUGCUCGUUUCGAAAAUAGAUGCCUACCUAAAUCAACCGUAACAAGUGUAAGCUGGUUUGCUUGGCUGAACAUAGAUUUUUUACUACCUACCCCAACUUUUUGAAUCGAUUAGGAGCAGUUGAUUUCUUUUGCUUAAAAUGCAUAGCAUGAGCUGAAUGCAUACUGAUUUCCUCUCAAUAAGUUGCUCUGUCGAUGCGCAGUAGUCAGAUCUUACCUGUGCGUUCUCCAAUUCCCCGUUGAUGUUUCAAGUUCUGCAAUCAGUUGCUCUGCAUUUCUCUGCCCCCAAAUACAAUCGUGUUUGCUUCAGUGUACCCUGGAUUCGAACCAAAUCGCAUACUCUCGACACUUAAUAUGCUGACCGGACAUUCGAAUUGUGAUGAUGGCAAGCUGCUGAUUUCUUUUGGCCUUUUCAAAAUAGAUAUUGACCAUCUGAAUAUCUGAUGUGUCUUUCUGAAUUGCGAUGACACGCAGCAACUGAUUUGUUCGGCUGAACAUGGAUUCUAGACUACCUAACCCAACGAUUUAAAAUCUGAGUGAUGGCAAGAAGCAACUGGUUUAUUCUCCUUUUCUUUAUGCGGGAAGAAGCAACUGAUUUCUUGGUCACAACAUACAUAUGAGCCAAAUUCAGAUGGAAAAAAAGACAUGAACCGGGGGACCUCAAGUUGCAAACAUCAGGCUGAUGGUGUCUGGGUUUGCUUUACAGCUACCCAUGUACUCCCUCCGUCCCGAAAUGUAAAAUGUUUUUUUAUACUAUCAUAAUAUAAAAAGUUAUGUAUCCAAGGAUUUCUAUUAUUGCCUUAAUAAUGCUGAGAUGUCAGCCUGAAACGAUCAAAGGAGGCGCAUAAACAUAAACGAUCAAAGGAGGCACAUCUCUAACUGAUCCUCUAUCCUAAAAGUCCAAAAUGUGCCUCCUAUCUCUUUUCUUUAUACUUUUUAAAUGUUUAAACUUUUCUCCAUCUAGCAAAUUACUUAAAACUUAAUAAAAAAAAAUCAAACCCAGAUUUUUGUACAUAAAUUUAUUUUAAACAAGUUAAUUGCAUAAUUCGACUAUGGUACCAUGUUAGCAUAAUACUACAUAGUAAAAUUAAAGGGUCCAUGUCUAAGGAAAAUCAUACUGUAUGAUUUAACAAUACAAU